rnacentral:rRNA from 1 species
CCUACGGGGGGCAGCAGUGAGGAAUAUUGGUCAAUGGACGAGAGUCUGAACCAGCCAAGUAGCGUGAAGGAUGACUGCCCUAUGGGUUGUAAACUUCUUUUAUAUGGGAAUAAAAUGUUCCACGUGUGGGAUUUUGUAUGUACCAUAUGAAUAAGGAUCGGCUAACUCCGUGCCAGCAGCCGCGGUAAUACGGAGGAUCCGAGCGUUAUCCGGAUUUAUUGGGUUUAACGGGAGCGUAGGUGGAUUGUUAAGUCAGUUGUGAAAGUUUGCGGCUCAACCGUAAAAUUGCAGUUGAAACUGGCAGUCUUGAGUACAGUAGAGGUGGGCGGAAUUCGUGGUGUAGCGGUGAAAUGCUUAGAUAGCACGAAGAACUCCGAUUGCGAAGGCAGUUCACUGGACUGCAACUGACACUGAGGCUCGAAAGUGUGGGUAUCAAACAGGAUUAGAUACCCGGGUAGUC